GACGAACGCUGGCGGCGUGCCUAAUACAUGCAAGUUGAGCGCUGAAGGUUGGUACUUGUACCAACUGGAUGAGCAGCGAACGGGUGAGUAACGCGUGGGGAAUCUGCCUUUGAGCGGGGGACAACAUUUGGAAACGAAUGCUAAUACCGCAUAAAAACUUUAAACACAAGUUUUAAGUUUGAAAGAUGCAAUUGCAUCACUCAAAGAUGAUCCCGCGUUGUAUUAGCUAGUUGGUGAGGUAAAGGCUCACCAAGGCGAUGAUACAUAGCCGACCUGGGAGGGUGGGCGGCCACAUUGGGACUGAGACACGGCCCAAACUCCUACGGGAGGCAGCAGGAGGGAAACUUCGGGAAUGGACGGAAGUCUGACCGAGCCACGCCGCGGGAGGGAAGAAGGUUUUCGGGUCGUAAAACUCUGUUGGUAGGGAAGAACGUUGGUGAGAGUGGAAAGCUCAUCAAGUGACGGUAACUACCCAGAAAGGGACGGCUAACUACGUG
rnacentral:rRNA from 1 species